rnacentral:rRNA from 1 species
UACAGAGGCCUCAAGCGUUGUUCGGAUUCAUUGGGCGUAAAGGGUGCGUAGGCGGCGCGGUAAGUCGGGUGUGAAAUCUCGGAGCUUAACUCCGAAACUGCAUUCGAUACUGCCGUGCUUGAGGACUGGAGAGGAGACUGGAAUUUACGGUGUAGCGGUGAAAUGCGUAGAUAUCGUAAGGAAGACCAGUGGCGAAGGCGGGUCUCUGGACAGUUCCUGACGCUGAGGCACGAAGGUCAGGGAGCAAACGGG